rnacentral:lncRNA from 1 species
UGCAGCCCCACUCCCGUGACUGCAGCUCUCGUCCCUCUCGCGUGACCGAGAGCGUUCGGCCCGCGCUGCACGGACGCAGACCAGAAGGCCUCCCCCGAGGGGGACGCGGCAGGCCCGGCACAGCCCCAACCUUCAGGCUUAGCGGCGGGGCGACGGCCCCCUCACCACGCCGCUCGCAGUUCUUCCCCGCCGAGUCCCGCGGUCCCGGAGCCAAAGCAACCCCCUACCUUCCUCCAGCGGAGAAGAAGGGAGCGGGAGAACGGCGGUAGGCGGCCCGCUCCCCUCAGCCCGCGCCGCCGCGCCGGGAGGCGGAAGGACUCGCCAAUCCGCGCCGCCGCUGCCAGCCCGCUGCCAUCGCCACACCGGAACGGCGCCACUUCCGGCAUGUGGAAACCGCUUCCGGUUAUCGCCAGACUACAUCCGGGACGUGACGGGGCUUGCCCGCCGGGCGGCUGUUGGCUGGCGGCCAUCUUGGCGCGAGCCCGCGCCCCUCUGUGGCUCUGUUGACCUGCCCAAAAUGGCGGUGUGGUCUCGUGCCUUCCUCUGUCGCCCCUCAGUUACCGCCCCGGCCCGGAGCUUCACCUCUGUCACUUGGUCGCGUUAGUCAGGCAGUGACACCCCAGCUGAUCCUGAAUUUUAAAGUUUUCCAGGUGGCUCUGACCUUCUCUUUAUGUAUGGCUUUCUUCCUGGUGUUACAGUGUUUGUAAGCAACUGUUCCUAUGCCUAUUUGAAAUUAAGUUUCAGACUGUGGUGCCUACAUCAGCUUCAUCAUAAAGCUCCAGGAAAAAUUGUCGUCAGCUGAAUUUCUCUUAAGAAGUGUGUCAUCUGCCAAGCAACACAAAACUGUUAUUGAUCUGAGUGGGCUGAAAGUACAAAACCGAGCCUUGAGGUUGAACAGCAUUUCAGAAUACUCUCCAAGUAAAGAAUAAGCCAGAGAAGGGGAUGACUGUCAGAGCAACACAGGUACUACUCCUGCCUCCAGUGCAGAUUAAGUAGGAAGUGAAUCAGUGCACCACUGGUUCUGGAGGAUGAAUCAGCUUAUCUCCUGGUAGCAUCUUUAGCUAACUGCAGAAUAGUUGUGAUCUGAAGAACUUGUAGGCAUCCAAAGGAAGCCACUUUGGGUUAAAUCUGGCACUGUUUUUAAAGCAUUUCUGAAUCUUGCUGACAAAGACUGAGUUUACUCUACGAGGGGCUUGCAGGCAAAAAUGAGGGUUGUCUUUCUAUAACAUUGUCA